GCCCGGUUAGCUCAGUCGGGAGAGCAUCAGACUUUUAAUCUGAGGGUCAAGGGUUCGAGUCCCUUAUCGGGCU
rnacentral:tRNA from 1 species